GCUCUCGUCGUCUAGGGGUUUUAGGACACUGGCCUUUCACGUCAGUAACGCGGGUUCGAAUCCCGUCGAGAGUACCA
rnacentral:tRNA from 1 species